rnacentral:rRNA from 1 species
AUUCCUACGGGAGGCAGCAGUGGGGAAUUUUGGACAAUGGGCGAAAGCCUGAUCCAGCAAUGCCGCGUGAGUGAAGAAGGCCUUCGGGUUGUAAAGCUCUUUUGUUUGGGAAGAAAUCCUAAAGGCUAAUAUCCUUUGGGGAUGACGGUACCAAAAGAAUAAGCACCGGCUAACUACGUGCCAGCAGCCGCGGUAAUAAU